UACGUAGGGGGCAAGCGUUGUCCGGAUUUACUGGGCGUAAAGCGCGCGUAGGCGGAACGUUAAGUCCGGUCUGAAAGCCCCCGGCUCAACCGGGGAGGGUGGCUGGAAACUGGCGUUCUUGAGUUCGGGAGAGGGAUGCGGAAUUCCAGGUGUAGCGGUGAAAUGCGUAGAUAUCUGGAGGAACACCGGUGGCGAAGGCGGCAUCCUGGACCGAUACUGACGCUGAGGCACGAAAGCGUGGGGAGCAAACAGG
rnacentral:rRNA from 1 species